UACGGAGGGUGCGAGCGUUGUCCGGAAUCACUGGGCGUAAAGGGCGCGUAGGUGGCGCGGGCAGUCAACGGUGAAAGUUCGGGGCUCAACCCUGAAUCGGCCGUCGAUACUCCCGGGCUCGAGCACUGUAGAGGCAGAUGGAAUUCCGGGUGUAGCGGUGGAAUGCGUAGAGAUCCGGAAGAACACCGGUGGCGAAGGCGGUCUGCUGGGCAGUUGCUGACACUGAUGCGCGACAGCGUGGGGAGCAAACAGG
rnacentral:rRNA from 1 species